CAAUGCGUGCUAUGGGUCCUUUUUUCUAACACUUGCAGAAGAUUUCAGCCCCGGCCACGAUGUUUGCUGUCAGAGGAUGGAAAAGUCUUCCUCAAUUUAUGGUUCAUACCCCAUUCUUCUGAAGUGCUGGUUAUGUUCAAAACUCUGCCAGAAAAGGCAGCUUUUAAAGCCUUAAAGCGAACUCUACAGCUGAUAGCUCCUCUGCAUGAUAUCGUGGCCUACCUUGUCAGUUUUGCUAAGCUUGGCAAUUGUCCAGCAUGUUUUGAAUUUCCUCGAAGUCCCAACCCUUUGAGAGGUGACUGGGGAGGAACUGAGGGCAUUGAAGAACAUUUUUGGCAGCUGGAAAUGUUCCUGCCUACCAGUCUGUCACAGACGGCAUGUGCCAUGGGCUACCAGCACUGAGCAACUCUCUCAGGAAGAGCAUUUUUGCCUCACAGCUCAGCCUGCCCCAGCCACUGGAUCCACGGAGCCUCCAGGCAUUUGAGCUGUUUCCUUGGAGAGCAUUUCUGGAAGAUGGAGGACCAUUCCCAGUUAUGAGUAACAGCCCAGAUACCCUAGAAUAUAAUAUGCAGGUAGGAUAGGUCUUCUCCAUUGUUGCAGAGAGAACUGAGUGCAGACUGCAAAGAUGGUUGCCAUUGGGUUCACAGGUCAGAUCCUCCUACUCUCACCCACGAUGAAUAAUGUGUGAGAUAAGCAGCGUGUUUGAUUUUGAGGC
rnacentral:sRNA from 1 species